AACUUACUUGUGUUUCCACAGACUCCCCUGACCCUCCAUGCAAUAUUAAACUUGGUGAGCUGCAAGAUGAUGGGUCCCUUCUCAUCACUUGGGACCCACCACUUAAUGAUGGAGGAAAUCCUAUUAAACAUUAUUGUCUUCAGAGAAGAGACGCUUAUUCUCGCAGCUUUCAAACUAUUAAAGACAAGAUUAGUGGGACUAGCUACCAGGUGCGGGACUUGAAGCCGGGGUGUACCUAUUACUUCCGUAUUAUUGCUGAGAACGAACUGGGCCAGGGGAGAUGGGAAUCAAUCUAACUUGCUGACUGUCAUUCAAAAGAGAGGUCCACUGCACAUUGAGAAGAUAAGAUAUAAUAAGAUGAAUCUAAACAAGGGAGCCAACUUUAACUUGGCCAUGAAACCUGUUACAAUCCAGGAGCGUGGUGCAGCUAAGUUUACGUGCGCUACUGUUGGAAAACCAGAACCGGAAAUUGCUUGGUAUAAAGACGGCAUCAGAAUUAAAGCAAACAACAAAUACUCGAUGCGCAACCAAUAUGGGGUUUGCACGCUCACAAUAUACGACUGUCGAGCACGAGACGCAGGGAUGUAUAAGUGUGAAGCAAACAACCAGGUUGGGAGAGCAAUCUCCGAGGCAAACCUUAGUGUUCUGCCAAGGCUCAUCUAAGCAGCAAAACAGCUGUCAUCAUUUUAUUAUGUACAUCGUCAUCUCAACUUUGGUUUCAUCAGUUUCUGUAUAGUUUUUGCCCAACUUGUUAUUAGGAUUUCGUUUCUGUGUUAUGUAACAAACACUUGGGUGUUCUGUUCAUAGUUGUUUAUAGUUUAUACCGCUUUUAAACGUGUUAGCGAUAGAACCGUCAUGUGAGGUGUUGUAUGGGAAUGAGCUUUUGUCAUGUGAAUACAAGUCUUAUGCUCAAAUACC